rnacentral:rRNA from 1 species
UACGUAGGGACCAAGCGUUGUUCGGAUUUACUGGGCGUAAAGGGCGCGUAGGCGGCAAUUCAAGUCAUCUGUGAAAUCUCCGGGCUUAACCCGGAACGGUCAGAUGAUACUGCUUUGCUAGAGUGCGGAAGGGGCAAUCGGAAUUCUUGGUGUAGCGGUGAAAUGCGCAGAUAUCAGGAGGAACACCGGUGGCGAAGGCGGUUCUCUGGGCCUGUACUGACGCUGAGGAGCGAAAGCGUGGGGAGCAAACAGG